UACAUCUAAGGCUCACCCUUUGACAGUUACUUUCAAGUUGUUUUAAUUUGGGUUUACUUGGAGUUUAAAUUUACGAUUUAUUUAGAUUGUAUUUUAUUUAUCUUGUUUUUACUUUUUGAUGUUGUUGAUUCAGAGUUGGAAAUUUGAAUGACCCCGCCUUCUGAGGCUCGCCUUUAUAUAGACAGUAUCAGCCAAUCAGGUUGCACAUAACAAAAUCCGGACCAAUGAAAACAAUUGUUAUAAAGUAACCUUGGCGUUCUAAAAUAAACAUUUCAGAGAAAAUUUAGCUUUUGAUGGGAAACUAUAAUUAAUUACAAUUUAUAAUGUGGCGUUUACUUGAUAUUUAGAAAGAACAAUAUUUAAGGAAUAAAAUGGCACCACAUAUGGUUUAAAUAGAUCAAAAUAUGAUAUCAAACGCCGGUUUACAAAAAUGGACAGUGACAGCUUCCAAACAAGAUGGCGGAUGCGAAUUACACUUGACAAAUUAUAGUUCCCUGUUCACAAUCAACAAAAGUUCCAGAUAAAACAGCUGUAGCAGUAUGUUCUCAAAACACGACCCGGAGAUCUUUGAGUAUGUAAAAAUGGUCUUCUUCUAACGUAAAGACAAGUCAGCAUAGGCCUAUACAAGGUACACGAUGAUCUCUUACAUAUUAUAUUAACAAAACAUGGAUAUAUAUUUUUUUACAUUCAUAUACCCGUUUAUAAGAUUGAUUGGUUUAUGACGCAGUUUCAGAUAAAAAUGCUUACACUUAGA